CACGUAGGGCGCAAGCGUUGUCCGGAAUUAUUGGGCGUAAAGAGCUCGUAGGCGGUCUGUUGCGUCCGCUGUGAAAACCCGGGGCUCAACCCCGGGCUUGCGGUCGAUACGGGCAGGCUCGAGUUCGGUAGGGGAGACUGGAAUUCCUGGUGUAGCGGUGAAAUGCGCAGAUAUCAGGAGGAACACCGGUGGCGAAGGCGGGUCUCUGGGCCGAUACUGACGCUGAGGAGCGAAAGCGUGGGGAGCGAACAGG
rnacentral:rRNA from 1 species